CAUGCAUAAACAAGGUUAGAAAUGCUGGGUUACAGCUGCAUGAACUGCCUGGGACUGUAGAGCACUGUGCUUGAGUUACUCUUUCUUGGAAUUCUCAAGCUGAACUCUUCAGAAUCCUCAAGGGAUCAUACUCCUGCUGUUUCCUCAGAGAGCCUAAGAGUGGAGAAAUCCAGCUCCUGGAAAGGAUUUGAUCUGCAGGGCACGUGUUGCAGAUCAGCCCAGCCUGAUGCUUGUCACAUAGAAGUCAGACCUGGUGCAGUGUCAUGAGGCCAAUGCAGAACCCAAGGCCCGAGCCGACGAGCCCCAAAGACAGCAAGAGGUGUUGGCAGAGGCACUCUACAGCUUGUACCCAGGAGGUUCGAAGGGCGGACACAGGAGCCCAUGUCUGCCUGAAUCUUUCUAAACUCUCCCCUCCCUUAUUUCUGUAAUGAUCUUUUGUAGCCACAGAAUGCUGCAGAGAAGAUCUGGUUUUACAUGAAACUCGUCUGAACUGAAAUAACAGAGCCAUGACCUCAGCCUGGGUGUCUGGACACCACUGCAGCACAAUUUAAUAACGGUAAUACAGGCUGGAUCGCCUUUGGCUUCGUGGUUUAAGUCAGACACUGGAGGGAGGUGGAAAACAAAACAAUAUCAGCAACUUAGAGCUUUUCUGGGGCUGAGAUGAAUGAGCACAGAUUUACUAACCCUUCCUCAUUCACUGUAUAUGCACACAUUCAUUGUAUGUCACACCUCUGUCUUUGAGAAAAGACACAUUCAGUUUGUAACA